rnacentral:rRNA from 1 species
AGUGAACGCUGGCGGUAGGCCUAACACAUGCAAGUCGAACGGCAGCACAGGAGAGCUUGCUCUCUGGGUGGCGAGUGGCGGACGGGUGAGGAAUACAUCGGAAUCUACCUUUUCGUGGGGGAUAACGUAGGGAAACUUACGCUAAUACCGCAUACGACCUACGGGUGAAAGUGGGGGACCGCAAGGCCUCACGCGAUUAGAUGAGCCGAUGUCCGAUUAGCUAGUUGGCGGGGUAAUGGCCCACCAAGGCGACGAUCGGUAGCUGGUCUGAGAGGAUGAUCAGCCACACUGGAACUGAGACACGGUCCAGACUCCUACGGGAGGCAGCAGUGGGGAAUAUUGGACAAUGGGCGCAAGCCUGAUCCAGCCAUACCGCGUGGGUGAAGAAGGCCUUCGGGUUGUAAAGUCCUUUUGUUGGGAAAGAAAUCCUAUCGGUUAAUAACCGGUGGGGAUGACGGUACCCAAAGAAUAAGCACCGGCUAACUUCGUGCCAGCAGCCGCAGUAACAC